rnacentral:lncRNA from 1 species
CUUUUUGCUUCCUUUUUACAUCCCGACCCGAUUAUCUUUUUCCGGUAAAUAGAGAGGCAACUUCUUUAUUACAUAUCAAAGGUAGGUAACUGAUACGAAACAUGGCUGAAUCUAAGAAGAAAUGUCGACAGUAUAGUAUUGAUUAUUUAAAAUUUGGUUUUCUUCCAUCAAAGGCAGACAAGCGAUUGCCCAUAUGUCUUUUAUGCAACAAAGUUUUGAGCGAUGAAACCAUCUAAGCUCGAAGAUCAUCUAAGAAGGUGUCAUCCUGAUAAAAUAGGUAAAGUUUUGAAAUAUUUUCAAGCAUUGAAGGAAAAGUAUCAAAAGAGACCCGGGCACAGCAUGUUCGCUUUAACAUCUGAAAGUAACGAUGAUGGCUUGCGGGCAUCUUACAAUAUCUCAUUACUUAUAGCGAAAUCUGGAAAACCGCACACCAUUGGAUUUUACCCCGUGUUGAAGAGGUUUUAAAAACUGCUCUGGCACAAAUCUCCAUCUGACAUGCUCAAAAGAAUUCGUUUGAGUAACAAUACUGUACAAGGACGUAUUGAUGAAAUGAGCUCUGAUAUUGAAAGUUUCUUGAGUGAUUAUCUGCAAACAACUCAUUUUUCUAUUCAGCUGGACGAAACAACUUUACCUGGUAAUGAUGCAUUAUUAUUGGCAUAUGUUCGAUUGGCAUAUAUUUGACGAAGAAAUUCAUGAAGAGCUACUAUUCGCAAAAACUUUGGAGACUGACACUAAAGGUGAAUCAAUAUUUAAUGUCCUGAAUGAUUUUUUUAAGGAAAAAUCGACUCCAUUCACAAACGUUAUUUCGGUGGCAACAGAUGGAACUCCUGCCAUGGUCGAUAUCGUGUGUUUAUAAGCCAUCUUAAAAGAUUUAUACCAGAGGUAACUGCAAUUCACUGUGCCAUCCACCGACAACACCUAGUAGCGAAACAUUUCAGUGAUAGAUGACACCAAUCGCUUCAAUUUGUGAUUAAUGCAGUUAACAAAAUAAGAAGCAAUGCGUUGAACGCGCGUUUAUUUGCACAAUUGUGCGAUGAAAAUGAUGAAGACUUCCAACGAUCGCUCUUACAUACUGAAGUACGCUGGUUGUCGGUUGUCGAAAAGUGCAUGUUUAACAAAAUUUUACCUACUUUUUGAAUCAGGUUUAAAGUUUCUGGAAAGUAAAGAUCCAGAUUUAAAAGAAAACGUAAUCAGUUUGAAAGCAGGCAUCGUGUAUUUGACAGAUUUAUUCAAAAAAUUUAAUGACGAACUUACAAUUACAAGGGAACAGCCUCAAUUUAAUAAAAACAAAUGGUGUAGUUUCAGCUUUUCUUGGAAAAUUGAAAUUUAUGAAGCAAAAUAUUAAUCGACGCGAAUUUUCCCAGUUUUCAAACUUGUCACAGGUAGAAUACCAUGAUGAGGAUACUCAGACAUACGUUCAACAUUUAAUUGCCCUGCAUGAUAAUUUCAAAAUCAGAUUUGAAGAUAUUCUGAGGAUGGAAAUACACCAUGGAUCAUAAAUCCACUUGAUGAAACGGAAGUGGAGAAUGUGAUAUUACAAGAGGAGCUACUUGAACUUAGCACUAAUGAGGAGCUACUCGACCUUAGCACUAAUGAGGAGCUACUCGAGCUUAGCACUUAUGUAUCAAACAUUUUGGCUGCAGGCAGAAACACCCGAAAAGUAUCCUGGACUGUGGGGAAUUGCGAGAAAGCUUUUGAUAGCGUUCCCUUCAUUCUUAUCGAAAAAAGUUUUAGAGUCGUUACAACAAACCUUUUAACAAAACAAAAAAAAAAAAAAAAAAAAAAAAAAA